GAAAUAAAGAAGAACAGAAAUAUAGAAGACGGAAGAGACAGAGCCCGACCCGCGCACCACGAACUCCGAGGAGCAAAUGGCUCCGCCGGGCUCGCGCCGCCGUUUAAAUCCCCCUCAGCCCCGCCCCGCGCAUGCGCUCUGGGGCCCCGCGCACCUGUGCAGGCCCCGCCCCGCGCACCUGUGCAGGCCCCGCCCCCGGCCCCGCCCCCGCCCGCGCCCUUUAAAAGCGGCCGAGCCGCUCCCGGCCCGCUCCAUUCGGGAACGCUCGUGCUGGGAUGCGGCGGGAUCCUCGUCCGAGCGCUGUGCCGAGCGCGACCCAGGGACCGGCCCCGGUGCUGCCCGAAUCCCGAGGCGCUCAGAUCACAGGAUAUAGUGGGGUCGAGAGAAAUCCUGAAAUCUGACUCUCAGGCACGCAGCAUGUGGCAGAAUUGAACUCACAUCCCGGCCAGUACCUGGACUCUGCUCCGACUGACUGAGACAAUCUCUGGGUCACAGAGAGAAGUAAGCAGGACAGGUUCUGAGGCUUCCCUUGCUGCAUGACCAGAGCUCUUCUGGAGAGUGGCAGGGGGCAUUUCCUGCAGCUGCAGGGAAUGGGGCAGGAGGAGGCCAGGAGCCCCUGGAAGGUACCAGCCCCUCCUGUCCCUGGGCUCUCAGGGAGGCCUGUGCCUGCAGUGUCCUGCC